CUGAGUGUUUAUGCCGUGUUUUUUUCUAGCCUGAUCGCAAGCCUCUCAAGUAGGUAGGAUUUCUUCACAAAGUUAGAUCAAUAGUCAACGUCCUCAAUUCACAACAGAGUAGUUAACAAAAUCUAUAAUCAAGCAUUUGAAAGAGUACUUACACGACUUUCAUUCAAUGAAUGAUUUGGAUUGAUCGUAGCUCAGAGAUUAAUGCCUCCAAUAGCUUGAACAUUCGACUGGUUCCGAGUUAAGCGAUCACUUCUCACUUCCUCUCAUGGCACUUUGGCCAAAUGAGCUAAUAUCCUAACAUUUUCAUUUCGUCCUUAUGUACAAGAUGAAUGAUUUUGCUUGAAGAGGUGAACUCCUCUGUAUUAUUUCGAAUAACUAUUUUUAAAUAAUUCCACCCUUUUAACAAUGUCCAGUUGUGCCUGACCUACCAUUAAUCACCUUAUAUACAGUUGCGUACUUACUUACGCAUAGUAAAUAAGAGUUUUUGGGUAUCUAAAAAACGCCCAAUUUUCAAUAGAGAUAAGGAACUGAUUUUCUGUUUUACGUGAGUUUAAUAGGUUCCAAAACCGGCCACAAAGUGUCUUGGAAGAAUGUUUCAGACAUGUUUUGACUCUCAAAUACGAUUUUAAUGAAUGCACCGUGGAUUUCUUGACGUAGGAAAAAAACUGAUGAAAUUUUGAGAUACGGACAACUUUUUGGGCUCCAUGAGAGCCUGAACCUCGCCGGCCAAUCAGAGCGCGGCACUUUUUUUCUGUUGUAAAAAAAUUGAGACGGCAAUACGACAGUCUCUGCAAUAGCUAUGAAAAUAUCCUAUUACCUCAAUAUCGGCGCUUCGGUUCCUGCUUUUGCAAGUUGUUUACCUAUAUACUUUGUAGAACACCAGUGAGGGGAAGGAACGCUAUUUAAGCUGACAGUGGAAAGAUGGAUCGUGCAAUUAAGGAAGUCGUGGCAGGGCGUUGCAAGAAGAUCCAAGAUGUCAGAUGUCAGUGAUGUUUAAGAACCCUAGGCACCAGUGGCGGAUUCAUUGCAAACAAUCAGCUAGACAUCUUUCAAAUACUUCUGAGAAUUCUACAUCAAACUUAAGCGCAUUUUGGGAACCGUUCUUUCACGAUUUAUGUAAAAUACAUCAUUGCACGGGCUGACUUAUUUGACAAAUGAUUAUAAGCAUUUAUCUGAAAGAGCUCUGUGGGCAGUGCUCCUCUUAGCGGCUUUGGUUGGAACCUUCAUCACUUCUUGGCGCAUUUGGUUGCUGUACUCGCACGGUGGAACGGAGACUGUGAUUGAAACGACCAAUUAUAAAUACGGCUAUAAUUCUUUCCCGGCUGUUAUCAUAUGUGAUGCCUCUCGAGCUCAUUGGCCGCUUGUCUCACAGCUGAAUUAUAGGUGAAAUAAAACUAUGCUACAGGCAUGAUUACUUGUAAGAAAAUUUAAUUAACGUUUGCAGAAAGCUUAGCCUCGCAUUAAAAUGCGCCAAUCAACGAAAUCCAUUGGUCAGGCCCAUAUAAGACUUUUCUUCAUAACUUCUCGAUGCCCGAACGCUGAAGUUACGUAUCUUGACUGAGAAAAUUAACCCAUUAUUUUUUCAAACGUAAGCGAGCAAAAUUUUUCGCUUCAUACUUAAGUAAACAAGGUAUGCAUUUACACUUUUACACAGGAAAAAAUGAAGAGAAUUUGAAGGAAUCAUGUCGAUAAAUUUUUCAGUCAUACAACUACAAAACAUGACGAGAUGCCUAAAUAGGUCAGAGUUUCUUAAUACCAAAGACGAAAAGACGGAGCGCUAAAAGCAAAAAAUGAAGCUUCUUUUCAACCACCCCUACUAUCGGCUAGAGAAUUGGGUAGUUGCAUGAAAUUUUUUUAAUUCAGUUUCUAAAAGUUGAGGGUCUACUGAGUAUGAGAGUAUUUUUAAAAAAAUUUCCGGUCAUCGGAACUUAGAGAAAAAGCUUCCCAAAGUCAAAAGCGAUUUGAAACGGGUUUUUUCCCGCGCUGGGACUUCGUGACGUAGCAUGGUAUACACCAAGGUUCGCCCUAUGCCAAAGACGUGUAAAUACGGUCUUUUUAAAAAUUCGCGAAAAAUCGACUUUUUUGUCUAGAAUUGAUUUCUUUGCGUCGAUGUAAAUUUCGGGAUGUGAUUUCUCAUUUUCAAUUUUUUUGAAGGUUCUCCAUUUUCAGGCUCUUCAUCUUUCUCUUUCCAGUCAAAAAUCGAAUGCACUACCUGCCGAGCCAACGAGGCUUCUGUAUGAGAGGGCGAAUUUGCGCUAUGCGAGUGAAUAUUUUUAUUGUUGAAUAUGCGUGAGAGCAAAUUGCUGAAUAUUUUUUGGGCUUGGAAAAACUGGAUAUAAGGGCAAAAAAAUAAAAAUAUUUAUCAUGGAUAUUUAAAGAUGGUUUACCUACUUUCAAAAGUUCCUUUGUUGUUCAUGAAUAUGUAAAAAAAAUGUCUACAUUUUAAUAAUUCGUUCCCCUUUUUUUCUUUUCCUUUUCUUAAAUUUAUAAUAACAUGCAUACAUUUUUAAAAGAAUGUUUGAACCAUUUUACUAAUGAUAAGUUAUUAUACCCUAAUUUUUGCGUAAUUUUGUUGUAGCAAAAACUACAAAGGUAUUUCCUGUUCGGUCAAUUUAGCGAAUUUUCGGUAUAGACAUUCUACCCAAUUUUUUGGUUUCCGUAACCAAACAUUUAACAUAAAAAAUAGAUGAUCGAAAAGUAAAAAAAGAAAACAGUGAUUUUUACGUGAAAAAGUCAGAAAAAAUUCAGUGACGACAGUUUUGUACGUAAAAAAUCGUAGUUUCAUAACGAAAAAAUCCGUCUCCUUUGAAUUUUUUUCUGACCUUUUUUUUACGUACAAGAACUACCUACGAUUUUUGCGUAAACCUAAAAUGUUGUCUCUUAGUUUUUUUCUUGGAAAUAAUUCAGUUAAAUCCCCCAAUUUUUUUUCGUCUUUAAUCACAAUUUUUUUUUACGUUACGUUCUCCGACUCUGAUUUUUUAUGAGUUCUUUUACGUACAUAUUUCGUACAAAAUUUACCAGUAUUAAUUUUUCUCUUUACGAAUUAUAUUACAAGAUGUGCUACUAGGGUAGAAGGCUCCAAAAGGACUCACAGUCAUAGUGAACUUUACAGUAGAGAGUCAGAUACGUUAGCAAGCUGUACCUACAAUACUUCUCUACGUAGGACCUGGUUAUAAUGCAAAUAUUUUGACCUUCUUCUCCAUUGCAAACUGUUCCUUGUAUAGUUAUUUCAUUUCUAGUGCUUCACUUUACCUGCUAACUUUCGAUUUGUAUAUAUACCUAUUUCGGUUUUGAGUUUAAGUAAGUCCAAAAUAUUCCUCUCAAUAAACACACCAAUUUAAAGCGAUUUGGUGGAGUAUGAGCCGGGACCAAUGAAGACUGUUCAAGCUCUACUCAAAGGCCUAGCAAUCAUUUCAUUUGGAGACUUCGACGAGCUUGAGAGAGUGAAGGAAUACACCAACUUUGCCCAGUCUCUGCGCUCUCUCAACAUCACUGAUCUUCUGCUGAAGGUAUAGCGUGAUUACCAGAUUCAAUUAUUCUGUAAAACGCAUUGCAUGAUCGAUCGAUCCGAAUGGAGAAACACAUGUACACAUACACACAUACAUAC
rnacentral:lncRNA from 1 species